GACGAACGCUGGCGGCGGGCUUAACACAUGCAAGUCGAACGGAAAGGCCCUGCUUUUGUGGGGUGCUCGAGUGGCGAACGGGUGAGUAACACGUGAGUAACCUGCCCUUGACUUUGGGAUAACUUCAGGAAACUGGGGCUAAUACCGGAGAGGAGCUCCUGCUGCAUGGUGGGGGUUGGAAAGUUUCGGCGGUUGGGGAUGGACUCGGGGCUUAUCAGCUGGUUGGUGGGGUAGUGGCUUACCAAGGCUUUGACGGGUAGCCGGCCUGAGAGGGUGACCGGCCACAUUGGGACUGAGAUACGGCCCAGACUCCUACGGGAGGCAGCAGUGGGGAAUAUUGCCCAAUGGGCGGAAGCCUGAUGCAGCAACGCCGCGUGCGGGAUGACGGCCUUCGUGUUGUAAACCGCUUUCGCCUGUGACGAAGCGUGAGUGACGGUAAUGGGUAAAGAAGCACCGGCUAACUACGUG
rnacentral:rRNA from 1 species